GUUUAUGGCCAUACGACCCUGAAUGCUCCUGAUCUCCUCUGAUUUCAUAAGCUAAUCAAGGUCAGGCCUGAUUAGUACUUGAAUGGGCGAUUACAUUAUUUUAGCUGUAGUGUACU
rnacentral:rRNA from 1 species